UACGAAGGGGGCUAGCGUUGCUCGGAAUCACUGGGCGUAAAGGGUGCGUAGGCGGGUCUUUAAGUCAGGGGUGAAAUCCUGGAGCUCAACUCCAGAACUGCCUUUGAUACUGAAGAUCUUGAGUUCGGGAGAGGUGAGUGGAACUGCGAGUGUAGAGGUGAAAUUCGUAGAUAUUCGCAAGAACACCAGUGGCGAAGGCGGCUCACUGGCCCGAUACUGACGCUGAGGCACGAAAGCGUGGGAGCAAACAGGA
rnacentral:rRNA from 1 species